UCUCUCCUCAUUAUCUGAACACUGGAGUCACCAUGAUGUUCCUGUGCUCUCUGACUGUGUUUAUCAUCGUACUUGGGAACUGUUCUGCACAGUCAAUAGAUCCAGUGAAUGAAACACAGCUUCACGCUUUUAAAGAUGAGACUGUUACUAUCUCCUACAAGUAUGAUAAAGCAAACUAUCUCUUCUGGUAUCGUCAGUAUCCUGGAUCCAGACCAGAAUAUUUACUGACGAUAUAUCCAAAAGAAAGAGCUAAAAGUGACCCAAACCCUUUAUUUCCACAAUUCAGUUCUACAGUGGAUUUCAGUGAAUCAAGAGUGAAUCUGAUCAUCUCCUCUACUGCAGUAUCAGACUCUGCUCUCUACUACUGCGCUCUGAGGCCCACAGUAACAGCAACCCACCAAACACUGUACUAAAACCUUUCUUGUAAAAUAUGUAGAAACACUAGUAUUUCAGGAGGGGGCGCUGUUUCUCUUCUGCUUUCUCACCAUUCAGGUUAUAACAUAAUUUUGCUUUGGGAUGUCAGUCAUCAGUUAUAGUCAGGAACAAGUGAAAAUUAAAGCUGGCACUACCAACACAGGAGUCUCUGAUUUGUAUAAACAGAUGCAGAAUAUUAGCUAAAUAAGACUCACACCUGUUCACACCUGGUAUAAACUUGCAUCCUGAGAGAUCUGAUCAGAAACGACCAAUUAGCUAGUAAGGUGUUGCAGUAAAUUUGAUAGUAUGCAAACAGUACAUUUAAUCACAACACCUAUAAAAUACAAGUAAAUAAAAGUUUUAUUACAACAAAAAUUAAAGUGCUGUAUUGUUAGCACAGCCAAUA